GUAGUCAACAUGCCCAGGGGACGUGGAUAACCUCGGGAAACUGAGGCUAAACCGCGAUAGGCCAAGAUUUCUGGAAUGAGUCAUGGCUCAAAUCUAUAUGGCCCCUGGAUUGGACUGCGGCCGAUCAGGCUGUUGGUGAGGUAAUGGCCCACCAAACCUGUAACCGGUACGGGCUCUGAGAGGAGGAGCCCGGAGAUGGGCACUUAGACAAGGGCCCAGGCCCUAUGGGGCGCAGCAGGCGCGAAACCUCUGCAAUAAGCGAAGGCUUGACAGGGUUACUCUGAGUGAUUUCCGCUAAGGAAGUCUUUUGGCACCUCUAAAAAUGGUGCAGAAUAAGGGGUGGGCAAGUCUGGUGUCAGCCGCCGCGGUAAUACCAGCACCCCGAGUGGUCGGGACGAUUAUUGGGCCUAAAGCAUCCGUAGCCGGUCCUGCAAGUCCUCCGUUAAAUCCACCCGCUCAACGGUUGGGCCGCGGGGGAUACUACAGGGCUAGGAGGCGGGAGAGGCAAGCGGUACUCGAUGGGUAGGGGUAAAAUCCACUGAUCCAUUGAAGACCACCAGUGGCGAAGGCGGCUUGCCAGAACGCGCUCGACGGUGAGGGAUGAAAGCUGGGGGAGCAAACCGGAUUAGAUACCCGGGUAGUCCCAGCUGUAAACGAUGCAGACUCGGUGAUGGGCUGGCUUCGUGCCAACCCGGUGCCGCGGGGAAGCCGUUAAGUCUACCGCCUGGGGAGUAUGGUCGCAAGACUGAAACUUAAAGGAAUU
rnacentral:rRNA from 1 species